UAGGGAAUCUUCGGCAAUGGACGGAAGUCUGACCGAGCAACGCCGCGUGAGUGAAGAAGGUUUUCGGAUCGUAAAGCUCUGUUGUAAGAGAAGAACGAGUGUGAGAGUGGAAAGUUCACACUGUGACGGUAUCUUACCAGAAAGGGACGGCUAACUACGUGCCAGCAGCCGCGGUAAUACGUAGGUCCCGAGCGUUAUCCGGAUUUAUUGGGCGUAAAGCGAGCGCAGGCGGUUAGAUAAGUCUGAAGUUAAAGGCUGUGGCUUAACCAUAGUACGCUUUGGAAACUGUUUAACUUGAGUGCAGAAGGGGAGAGUGGAAUUCCAUGUGUAGCGGUGAAAUGCGUAGAUAUAUGGAGGAACACCGGUGGCGAAAGCGGCUCUCUGGUCUGUAACUGACGCUGAGGCUCGAAAGCGUGGGGAGCAAACAGGAUUAGAUACCCUGGUAGUCUACGCCGUAAACGAUGAGUGCUAGGUGUUGGGUCCUUUCCGGGACUCAGUGCCGCAGCUAACGCAUUAAGCACUCCGCCUGGGGAGUACGACCGCAAGGUUG
rnacentral:rRNA from 1 species